GGUUUUGUAGUGUAGCGGUUAUCACUCCGGAUUCUGAUCACCUCAGUAUCUUCCGGCAACCCCGGUUCGAUUCCGGGCAAGACCU
rnacentral:tRNA from 2 species